GACUCCUACGGGAGGCAGCAGUGGGGAAUUUUGGACAAUGGGCGAAAGCCUGAUCCAGCAAUGCCGCGUGUGUGAAGAAGGCCUUCGGGUUGUAAAGCACUUUUGUCCGGAAAGAAAUCCUUGGCCCUAAUACGGUCGGGGGAUGACGGUACCGGAAGAAUAAGCACCGGCUAACUACGUGCCAGCAGCCGCGGUAAUACGUAGGGUGCGAGCGUUAAUCGGAAUUACUGGGCGUAAAGCGUGCGCAGGCGGUUUGCUAAGACCGAUGUGAAAUCCCCGGGCUCAACCUGGGAACUGCAUUGGUGACUGGCAGGCUAGAGUAUGGCAGAGGGGGGUAGAAUUCCACGUGU
rnacentral:rRNA from 1 species